rnacentral:rRNA from 1 species
CGCGUAGGCGGUUAGUUAAGCUGGAUGUGAAAGCCCCGGGCUCAACCUGGGAACUGCAUUCAGAACUGGCUAGCUAGAGUACGAGAGAGGGUAGUGGAAUUUCCUGUGUAGCGGUGAAAUGCGUAGAUAUAGGAAGGAACAUCAGUGGCGAAGGCGACUGCCUGGCUCGAUACUGACGCUGAGGUGUGAAAGCGGUGGGGAGCAAACA